CACAUCUCUGGUUGAUGACCAUCACCAGGUAGUCUACAGUAUUCAAACCUCUGGUUGAUGACCAUCACCAGGUAGUCUACAGUAUUCACAUCUCUGGUUGAUGACCAUCACCAGGUAGUCUACAGUAUUCACAUCUCUGGUUGAUGACCAUCACCAGGUAGUCUACAGUAUUCACAUCUCUGGUUGAUGACCAUCACCAGGUAGUCUACAGUAUUCAAACCUCUGGUUGAUGACCAUCACCAGGUAGUCUACAGUAUUCAAACCUCUGGUUGAUGACCAUCACCAGGUAGUCUACAGUAUUCAAACCUCUGGUUGAUGACCAUCACCAGGUAGUCUACAGUAUUCAAACCUCUGGUUGAUGACCAUCACCAGGUAGUCUACAGUAUUCACAUCUCUGGUUGAUGACCAUCACCAGGUAGUCUACAGUAUUCAAACCUCUGGUUGAUGACCAUCACCAGGUAGUCUACAGUAUUCAAACCUCUGGUUGAUGACCAUCACCAGGUAGUCUACAGUAUUCAAACCUCUGGUUGAUGACCAUCACCAGGUAGUCUACAGUAUUCACAUCUCUGGUUGAUGACCAUCACCAGGUAGUCUACAGUAUUCACAUCUCUGGUUGAUGACCAUCACCAGGUAGUCUACAGUAUUCAAACCUCUGGUUGAUGACCAUCACCAGGUAGUCUACAGUAUUCAAACCUCUGGUUGAUGACCAUCACCAGGUAGUCUACAGUAUUCAAACCUCUGGUUGAUGACCAUCACCAGGUAGUCUACAGUAUUC